rnacentral:rRNA from 1 species
AGAGUUUGAUUAUGGCUCAGAAUCAACGCUGGCGGCGCGCCUAACACAUGCAAGUCGAGCGAGAAAGGGAGCAAUCCUGAGUAAAGCGGCGCACGGGUGAGUAACACGUGGAUAAUCUGCCCUUUGGUGGGGAAUAACCUUGGGAAACCGAGGCUAAUACCGCAUAAGUUCGAGAGAAGAAAGCCGAAAGGCGCCGAAGGAGGAGUCCGCGGCCGAUUAGCUAGUUGGUGAGGUAAAUGCUCACCAAGGCGACGAUCGGUAGCCGGCCUGAGAGGGCACACGGCCACACUGGCACUGAAACACGGGCCAGACUCCUACGGGAGGCAGCAGUGGGGAAUCUUGCACAAUGGGGGAAACCCUGAUGCAGCGACGCCGCGUGAGCGAUGAAGCCCUUCGGGGUGUAAAGCUCUUUCGGCAGGGACGAUAAUGACGGUACCUGCAGAAGAAGCUGCGGCUAACUACGUGCCAGCAGCCGCGGUAAUACGUAGGCAGCAAGCGUUGUUCGGAAUUACUGGGCGUAAAGAGUGCGUAGGCGGUUUGGCAAGUUCGGUGUGAAAUCUCCCGGCUUAACUGGGANNGUGCGCCGAAAACUGCCAGACUAGAGUGUNNNNNNGNGAAGUGNNAUUCCUGGUGUAGCGGUGAAAUGCGU